GCACAGGUGCUGCAUGGCUGUNGUCAGCUCGUGUCGUGAGAUGUUGGGUUAAGUCCCGCAACGAGCGCAACCCUUGUCNUUAGUUGCUACGCAAGAGCACUCUAAGGAGACUGCCGGUGACAAACCGGAGGAAGGUGGGGAUGACGUCAAGUCCUCAUGGCCCUUAUGGGUAGGGCUUCACACGUCAUACAAUGGUCGGAACAGAGGGUUGCCAACCCGCGAGGGGGAGCUAAUCCCAGAAAACCGAUCGUAGUCCGGAUUGCACUCUGCAACUCGAGUGCAUGAAGCUGGAAUCGCUAGUAAUCGCGGAUCAGCAUGCCGCGGUGAAUACGUUCCCGGGUCUUGUACACACCGCCCGUCACACCAUGGGAGUGGGUUUUACCAGAAGUGGCUAGUCUAACCGCAAGGAGGACGUC
rnacentral:rRNA from 1 species